AUACUAAUUUGGUUAUCAUGUGUUAGACAAUGUUCAUAGUUUAGAAACAAAAAGUUAUAACAUGUUAUGUCUUUUAGUGGUAGAUUUCUUAGGGUUAGAUUUUAGAUUGAGAUUUUUUUUGUUUUACUGACAAGAAUUUGAAAAUUAGUGUUUGAUAUUUGUGAUAUUUGAUACAGUAAUUGAGAUUUUUUCAAUUAUCAAGCAAAACAUUUAAGAUUUGAGAUUUGUGGUUUAGAGUUUCGUAGACUCACAAUAAAGUCUACUUCACUGUAGACGUUGUUUUCAGUCUACUUUAGUUGAUUACAAAAAAUAUUAUUUUAAAAUUAAAUAUAGUUUUUUAUGAACAAAAAUGUGAAAUCAUAUAUUAUAACUAUUUUUAAAAAAUUAGUAAAUCAUAUAUUUACAUUAUUAAAACAAUAAAUUACUAGACGAAUGAAUAACAUUUUUAAAAAUAAUUUACAUAUUUGUUUAAAUAAUAAAAGAUAAGGGAAAGAAAAAAAAUAAUUAUAGUCUACUUAUAAAUAAGUCUACCAAACCGAAAAUAAUUUAGCUAACCAGAUUUUACCAAAAUAAUUAAACUUAACCAAAAUUAAACCAUAAACGUUUUAACCUAACCGAAUCAAGUAUCCGACAUAUAAAUACUUUUUUUUGGAGUUUGGUAAGAAACAUAAAACCUAGCGCCGUUGGUCUCUCUCUCUCUAGAAUAGGCGAUUUUCGGCGGUCUGACCCUAUCGAGUCUCUCUUCCUUCUUCUCCCACUCGCCGUCCUCUCUGAAUCACCAUCAUUACCAUCACCACUAUCCUCUCCCAUCCGUCAGCUAUAUCCAUGUUGUCUCCGUCCACCUAGUCACCCCUCUCCUUGUCUUCUCCAGUCGUAAUCUCUCUUUCUUUAUCUCUCUCUCUCUAUUUUCUUAGACAGUAUCAAGCUCCGGUUUUUCCUUAAAAUCCAAUGUAAGCACCUUUUGUCUGAUUACUUUACAUCAAGUCUCAGGAGUGACGAGAGUGGUGAGUCGGAGAUGAGCAGCGGCGGUGAGGAGACAUAGCUUAACUUUGACUUCCAUGGAGUUUUGCUGUGUGUUCGAGCUUCAAACUUGAGGGAUGAGAUGGAGUCUAGUGAGAAGAGAAGGGAGGAGAUGGAUUUGGCUCAGAGACGAGGGAGGAGAUGGAGUUGGAUUCAAACAUAAGUCUCUUACCCUCUUUCUCAGAAUCAGUUUUAUUUCUGAUUUAAUGUAUUGAUUAUGGAGAAAACUGACAGUUUCAAAAUCUGUAACCACAGUUUCAGGUACGUUUAGGCGAGAAUAACUGCCACAAACCAGCUGAGGACUGAGGACAUCGUUGAAAAUUUGGGAUGUGCUUCAUUCUCUUUAUCACAAGCAUAGGGGAUGUGCUUCAUUCUAAGCUGCUCAAAGGUCUGAAAUACUAGUGCGAAGAGCUUCUUUUCCUGAUGAAUUCACACGGUUAACAACCAUCAUGUGGAUAAACGAGAUUGUCUUAAAGCAUGCUUAUUAUAAGAAUCAAGCAUGCUUAUUAUAAGAAUCAAGCAUGCAUGUCCACAAGUUACAGAUUCAGUGAUUGUGCAACCACUUUUUGGCUAGAAUUGGAAGAUAGAUGAAGUUGGUUAUAAUUAUCCUCAGAGAGAAUAUCUGUAGAUGUUUGUAAUAGGCAUGGGUAUUGUAGUUUUGUACCAGACUACAUUGUAUUGUUCUCUUUGUAUCAAACUGAUGUAUUAUGUAAUUUACUUGGAGUAGAUUUCAAAAGACUAAUACUGAAAUAGACAUAUGUAUUGUUCUUCUGUACCAAACUACAUUGUAUUGGCUUUUGUAUCAAACUACCCUUUAUAAAGCAGACUUGUUUAAAUAACUUCAAAAAAAUACAAAAAAAAAAUUAAGAUCUCCAAGUUUAACAUAGGUUCAUCAGUUCACACAACUCUAAAACAAUAUAAUACAAGAGUCGCACAUAACAGCGACUCAAGAUCCACAAAUUCAACAUAAAUUUCACAUAACCUACGAUUACAAAUUCAACAUAAGUUUCACAUAACCUCCAAUUACGCAACUAGACUUACAAAGACGUCUACACUUAUUACUUAACUACAUAAUUAAACCAAAAAGUUGAUAAUUUCAUAAUUAUAACAUAUUAUUUUCUCAAAAUCACCCAAGACCAGUAGGUAACUACAUAUUUAAACCAAAAAGUUGAUAAUUUCAUAAUUAUAACAUAUUAUUUUCUCAAAAUCACCCAAGACCAGUAGGAUUAACUUACAUUCCCUGUCAACAAAAAAAAUCUUGAAAAAACUUAAUGAAUAAUACACAAAUUCACAUUUUUAUAGAUUUUUCUAUCUAGACUUAAUAUUCAGUCUACAAAGAUGUAGACGUUCUUUUCAGUUUACUAAUGUAGACUGUCAAAUAGGUCUACUCUUUGGGUUGGUUUUUGCAAUUGCAAAUUUUACGGGUUGCUUUUUAUAUUUGAAAAAAAGGUUAUGAUUUUAUACAAAUAGACUUCCAUUUCAAUCUACAUUUUAAAAAUGUCAGUUUUUGCUAUUGACAAGAAUUCACCCAGGAUUUGACUUUCAGAAGUAGACUUCAUAUGCAGUCUACAUGUUUGAUUUUUUUAAAAAGAGAUUAGUUUUGCAAUUGACGACUUUCAACGAGUAGAUUGAAAUGAAUGUCUACAAGUGUGUAGACUUCACGUGAAGUAUCUUUCAAAUCCGAUGGGUUAGUUUUGCAUUUGACCAAAAUAAAUAAGUAGACUUUACACACAGUCUACAUUUUUUUUUCUAAGAUAAGAAGAUUGCAUAUGAAGUCUACAAUUUAAUAAAUUUUUGAUUACUUUUUAAACUUUUUAGUCAAACACAAAACGAACCUAUUCAACGAAGUCAAAGUUUCUGUCAAAUGCAAAACUAACAUUUUGUAUACUUCUCGUACAGUCUUCAUUUUGUAGACAUCCGAUGAAGUCUACUUUGAAAAACUAA